rnacentral:rRNA from 1 species
AGAGUUUGAUCAUGGCUCAGGACGAACGCUGGCGGCGCGCCUAACACAUGCAAGUCGAGCGAGAACCGGGCCUUCGGGCCCGGGGACAGCGGCGAACGGGUGAGUAACACGUGGGUGACCUGCCCCUCACUUUGGGAUAAGCCUGGGAAACUGGGUCUAAUACCGGAUAUGACUCGCGGUUGCAUGAUUGCGGGUGGAAAGUUUUUUCGGUGGGGGAUGGGCCCGCGGCCUAUCAGCUUGUUGGUGGGGUGAUGGCCUACCAAGGCUUCGACGGGUAGCCGGCCUGAGAGGGCGUCCGGCCACACUGGGACUGAGACACGGCCCAGACUCCUACGGGAGGCAGCAGUGGGGAAUAUUGCGCAAUGGGCGGAAGCCUGACGCAGCGACGCCGCGUGGGGGAUGACGGCCUUCGGGUUGUAAACCUCUUUCGACCUCGACGAAGAGUGAUUGACGGUAGGGGUGGAAGAAGCACCGGCCAACUACGUGCCAGCAGCCGCGGUAAUUC